UAAACGUUUAAAUGUAACAUGAAAACAAUGUCCGCUCUAGCUCGUUGACAUUCAAUUGAAAGAACUGGCAAACAAAGGUAACAAAUAACUUUGAUACUCACGUAAUAUUCUCCAUGCAAAUUUCAUAAGAAAGCCACCACGCAGCAUCACACAUCACAAAAGACGAAAUUCCCAAGGUGAUAUUGAACGCCACUUUAACUUCUACACUGAGGAGAAGGCACUCAAGACAGAUAUCCGUUCAUGUUGUCUGCAACUGAUUCUAGACGUUUCAGCACCUGGGCAACAGUGCUGGACUGGACAGUGGAUUGCUGAAAGGGAAAACCAUUUGGUAAGGUUUCGAUGGCCAUUGAUAAUUGAAGAGAAGCAUUGGAAUGCAACAGCUUGUCUGGCUUCGUCUGGACCUAAGUUACACCAAACAGAACACGGGAUCUAAACAAAUUUAGAUUCAGAUUUUUUAGCUUAAAUUUCAGCUGAAGUUUUCGUGUGACCUAGGUGCUUGUGACAAUAGAAAUCAAGGUUAACUUCCCCUGUCAAAUCAUGGUAAAUCUUCAAGAUAUUGAUGCCUUACCCAGAUCCAAUUCUUUGCUGCUAUCUCUUCUCUUUUGUAGAUAACAGCAAAAUAAUGCUGCCACUCAAGAGGCUGUGGUGCCUGCCACCACCACAGUUCUAAUUUAGGACAAUGUAACAUCAUUGAUAGAUUGGAGAUAUUGCUUGCUGUUGCUAUAUAUUGUUUGAAAUUUAAAUCUAAAUAUUCUCGCCUUUCAGGGCGAGAUUCUCACCACCGUUACAAUUGUUUGGAAACUGACAGCACUAACCAACGCUCACAGGUGGGCACUACCCUUGAAUAUCCCUUUUUAGUUGCUAAAACUAGCUAACUAACUAGCUAAAACGGGCCCUCUUGAUUUGAGGGGUAACUCCUUUGCUACUUUUAAUGGACUCCAUCCAAUUGGUAAACGCUGACAAGAGAAUGCUGUGAUUCAAGCCUGAUAAAUUGUGUAGUUGGAAAUAUCUGACCACC